rnacentral:rRNA from 1 species
CCGCUGAACUUAAGCAUAUCAAUAAGCGGAGGAAAAGAANNCCAACAGGGAUUACCUCAGUAACGGCGAGUGAAGCGGUAACAGCUCAAAUUUGAAAUCUNNCCGCAAGGCCGAGUUGUAAUUUGUAGAAGAUGCUUUNGGUAUAGCCCCGGUCUAAGUUCGUUGGAACACGACGUCGUAGAGGGUGAGAAUCCCGUAUGUGACUGGGUGCUUUUGCCUAUGUAAAGCUCUUUCGACGAGUCGAGUUGUUUGGGAAUGCAGCUCAAAAUGGGUGGUAUAUUUCAUCUAAAGCUAAAUAUUGGCCAGAGACCGAUAGCGCACAAGUAGAGUGAUCGAAAGAUGAAAAGCACUUUGGAAAGAGAGUUAAACAGUACGUGAAAUUGUUGAAAGGGAAGCGCUUGCAACCAGACUUGCACGCUGUCGAUCAUCCAGGCUUCUGUUUGGUGCACUCGACGGUGUUCAGGCCAGCAUCGGUUUUGGUGGUGGGAUAAAGGCCUUGGGAAUGUAGCUUCUUUCGGGGAGUGUUAUAGCCCUCGGUGCAAUGCCGCCUACCGGGACCGAGGACCGCGCUUCGGCUAGGAUGCUGGCGUAAUGGUUGUAAGCGACC